rnacentral:tRNA from 1 species
UGGCUCAGUUGGUAGAGCUUGGUGUUUGCAACGCCAGGGUUGUGGGUUCAAUUCCCAC